UUGGAGGGCAAGUCUGGUGCCAGCAGCCGCGGUAAUUCCAGCUCCAAUAGCGUGUAUUAAAGUUGUUGCAGUUAAAAAGCUCGUAGUUGAAUUUCGGGAUCAGAUUGUUGGUCGUGCCUCGGUACGCACUGGCAUUAUUGGUUCCUACCUUCUGAAGAACCGCGAUGUCAUUAAUUUGGUGUCGUGGGGAAUCAGGACUGUUACUUUGAAAAAAUUAGAGUGUUUAAAGCAGGC
rnacentral:rRNA from 1 species